GAUGAACGCUGGCGGCGUGCCUAAUACAUGCAAGUCGAGCGAACGGACGAGAAGCUUGCUUCUCUGAUGUUAGCGGCGGACGGGUGGGUAACACGUGGAUAACCUACCUUUAAGACUGGGAUAACUUCGGGAAACCGGAGCUAAUACCGGAUGAUAUUUUGAACCGCAUGGUUCAAAAGUGAAAGACGGUCUUGCUGUCACUUAUAGAUGGAUCCGCGCUGCAUUAGCUAGUUGGUAAGGUAACGGCUUACCAAGGCAACGAUGCAUAGCCGACCUGAGAGGGUGAUCGGCCACACUGGAACUGAGACACGGUCCAGACUCCUACGGGAGGCAGCAGUAGGGAAUCUUCCGCAAUGGGCGAAAGCCUGACGGAGCAACGCCGCGUGAGUGAUGAAGGUCUUCGGAUCGUAAAACUCUGUUAUUAGGGAAGAACAUAUGUGUAAGUAACUGUGCACAUCUUGACGGUACCUAAUCAGAAAGCCACGGCUAACUACGUG
rnacentral:rRNA from 1 species